CUUCUGCUAAAAAUAUCGAGAGGGACUCUUUGUUUGGGAUUGUGCAGCUCUGGGUGGGGACGUGAUGCUGCCUGUCGUGACCACAGUGGGCUGCCCUGUGUGCUCUGCCCUGGGCCACUGGGUGCCACGUUGGGCCUGGCCAUGUUGUGAUGGCCAUGUGGGCAUGUGUGCACAUCCGUGUCCCCAUGGUGAGGGCAAUGGGGCCAGUGAUGUAGUUCCCACAGAGCCCUGAUCUGAUGGGAGGUUUAAUUUCUGUUUUUUUUUGUUUGGAGAUGUGUCACUUGGUUUCAGAAACGUAAGAGAGGGUCGCCUGAGGAACUGAAAUGCGCUUUGUUUGUUUUCAGAGCGACUUGACGUGGUGAUGGUGGGUAGGAAAGGAGGAAGAGGCUUUGAGUCACUGCGUCCCCGCAUUACUCAGCCUGCUCUGGGCACUCCUGUCAUCUCUGCGGUACAUCUCUGAAAGAAAGGAAGAGCUUUCCUCCCAUCACACGCUGCUUUCCUUCCCCUCUUUCCUUUUUUGUCAUACCCAUCAAACAUAAAGAAGUUUCCACAUUUGAAAUUAGAUUUAUUUUAAAGUACUAAUGGUAACUCAGCUGUUGGCUGAAAAAGGAAAUGGCAUUCCUCAGGAUCUCCAGUGAGACACGGGCAGGCAACAUCCUUCACACAGACAUCCAGUGUCAUGUGGGGGAUAAGCCCCUGGGGCGUUACACAUCAUUCCUACCAAGGAACUAGAAUUUAUAUUACUUCCUGAAUGUUUUGAAGACUGCUGUAGCAACAUAGCAUUUUUUAACAGCUUGUAGUAUCCUAUUUGCUAUCCUUCUUAAUAGAAUAGAAUGGCUUGGGUUGGAAAGGACCUCAAAGACCAUUUGGUUCCAACACCCUCAUCGUGGGCAGGCCUGCCAAGCAGUGGAUCAGCCUGCCCAGAAACUCAUCCAGCCUGGCUGAAACGUCUCCAGGGAUGGGGCACGAACAACCUCUCUGUGCAGCAGUGCCAGAACCUUACCACCCUGAGUGAAGAAUUUCUUCCCAGUGUCUGAAACCUCCACUCUUUCAGGAGAGGUGCUUCAGCCCUCUGAGCAUCUUCGUGGCCCUCCUCUGGAUAUUGCUCCAGAAAUUAUUUGGAAUUCGAUUUGCAAAAAGAAGACCCUCUUGAAAACCUCCUUAUUCUCAGUGUCUAAACACACUGAGACACAGCUGGACACCCGGACGUGCUGCUCCUCCAGCCGUGUCCAGAAGCACAGCAGUCACACAGUGCAGGAGACGCUGUGCCAGCCUGCACUGCACCUCUGCAGGAGGGAGAAAGCAAAGCAGCACCAAUUCCAUCACAGU